AGUGAACGCUGGCGGUAGGCCUAACACAUGCAAGUCGAACGGCAGCACAGUAAGAGCUUGCUCUUACGGGUGGCGAGUGGCGGACGGGUGAGGAAUACAUCGGAAUCUACUUUUUCGUGGGGGAUAACGUAGGGAAACUUACGCUAAUACCGCAUACGACCUACGGGUGAAAGCAGGGGAUCUUCGGACCUUGCGCGAUUGAAUGAGCCGAUGUCGGAUUAGCUAGUUGGCGGGGUAAAGGCCCACCAAGGCGACGAUCCGUAGCUGGUCUGAGAGGAUGGUCAGCCACACUGGAAAUGAGACACGGUCCAGACUCCAACGGGAGGCAGCAGUGGGGAGUAUUGGAAAAUGGCCGCAGGCCUGAUACAGCCAUACCGCGGGGAGGAAGAAGGCCUUCGGGUUGUAAAGCCCUUUUGUUGGGAAAGAAAAGCAGCAGGUUAAUAACCCGCUGUUCUGACGGUACCCAAAGAGUACGCACCGGCUAACUUCGUC
rnacentral:rRNA from 1 species